CACUAGCGUAUACUAAAGUUGUUGCUGUUAAAAAGCUCGUAGUUGGAUAUCAGUCUGAAACGCUAGACCCAGUUGUGUAAACAACUGCGUGUCAAGGCGCUUGCGCUAUCGCGUUUUUGACUUAAUUCAGGAGUGGCGGUCUGCCCAUUCACUUGGGAUGGGUCGUCGUGUCCUGAUCUUUUACUUUGAGAAAAUUAAGGUGCUCAAAGCAGGCCAUCGCCUGCAUGCAUUAGCAUGGAAUAAUAAAUCACGACUUUGGCAUCGGCCGGUUCGCCGGCCGAGCGUUUUGUUGGUUUUGAGCCGAAGUAAUGAUUGAUAGGAACAUCUGGGGGUGCUAGUAUCGCCGGGCCAGAGGUAAAAUUCUAUGAUUCCGGUGAGACUAACUUAUGCGAAAGCAUUCACCAAGUGUGCUUCCUUUAAUCAAGAACUAAAGUUGAGGGAUCAAAGACGAUUAGAUACCGU
rnacentral:rRNA from 1 species